UGACCUGCCUCAGAGUGGGGGACAACUAUUGGAAACGAUAGCUAGUACCCCAUGGACUUGACGCAUUUAGAAAGUGUUGAGUAAAGGAGCAAUCCGCUUUGAGAGGGAUCUGCGGCCUAUCAGCUAGUUGGUGAGGUAAUGGCUCACCAAGGCGAAGACGGAUAGGGGGCGUGAGAGCGCGACCCCCCACAAUGGGACUGAGACACGGCCCAUACUCCUACGGGAGGCAGCAGUGAGGAAUAUUGCACAAUGGGGGCAACCCUGAUGCAGCAAUGCCGCGUGGGUGAUGAAGGUUUUCGGAUUGUAAAGCCCUUUUCUGUGAGAAGAGAGAGGACGGUAUCACAGGAAUAAGUCCCGGCUAACUACGUGCCAGCAGCCGCGGUAAUACGUAGGGGGCGAGCGUUAUCCGGAUUUACUGGGCGUAAAGCGCAUGUAGGCGGUGCGGUAAGAUAGACGUGAAAGCUCCUGGCUUAACUAGGAGAGGUCGUUUGUGACUGCCGGACUUGAGUGAAGUAGAGGAGAGCGGAAUUCCCGGUGUAG
rnacentral:rRNA from 1 species